GAGUAAUAUAUCGGAACGUACCCUAGAGUGGGGGAUAACGUAGCGAAAGUUACGCUAAUACCGCAUACGAUCUAAGGAUGAAAGUGGGGGAUCGCAAGACCUCAUGCUCGUGGAGCGGCCGAUAUCUGAUUAGCUAGUUGGUAGGGUAAAAGCCUACCAAGGCAUCGAUCAGUAGCUGGUCUGAGAGGACGACCAGCCACACUGGAACUGAGACACGGUCCAGACUCCUACGGGAGGCAGCAGUGGGGAAUUUUGGACAAUGGGCGAAAGCCUGAUCCAGCAAUGCCGCGUGAGUGAAGAAGGCCUUCGGGUUGUAAAGCUCUUUUGUCAGGGAAGAAACGGUGAGAGCUAAUAUCUCUUGCUAAUGACGGUACCUGAAGAAUAAGCACCGGCUAACUACGUGCCAGCAGCCGCGGUAAUACGUAGGGUGCAAGCGUUAAUCGGAAUUACUGGGCGUAAAGCGUGCGCAGGCGGUUUUGUAAGUCUGAUGUGAAAUCCCCGGGCUCAACCUGGGAAUUGCAUUGGAGACUGCAAGGCUAGAAUCUGGCAGAGGGGGGUAGAAUUCCACGUGUAGCAGUGAAAUGCGUAGAUAUGUGNAGGAACACCGAUGGCGAANGG
rnacentral:rRNA from 1 species